rnacentral:lncRNA from 1 species
GGGUUUCUGGUUCUUUAUUCUCUCCUUAGAUAUUUAUUCCUCAUGGAUAGAGGAAAAGAAUCUGAGGAGGAAUAUCAUGUUAUGAUUAGUAAUCAUUAGUUUUGGGGGCUGCAUUUUUUUUCCCUUUUGUAGUGUUGAUCAGACCCAGUGCAUUAUCACUGAGCUACAGCUUUAGCCCUGACCUCUGUAUUUAUAAUAUCUCUACUCUUAGAAAAUUACAGUUUAAAACUCACCUAACUUUAGAAUUGAAAUUAGAUUUCCAUGCAUAUGAUUGUACUUGGUGAUUUCUAUUUUACAUGUAUUUUUAAAUUUUGUUUUACUGGGGGAUUUUGAACAUGGGUUUAUAUCAUCUUUAUAGUAGCACUUAAAUUUAUGCAAGGCAAGAACUAUAAAGUUCUUUAUUUCAGCUAAAAAAUACUAAAAAAUAAGUACUUAAUUUUUCAAUAAAAUUGAAUGGCUUAUUAUGUAAUCACAUUUUUUUAAUUGAUAAAAAAUGUAGUUACGGCAAGUUCUGGAGCAUCUGUCUCAGCAAAGUGAAAACCAGUAUCUAAAGAUUUUAACAAGCCUUGCUGAAGUUGCCACAACAAAUGGUCAUAAACUACUGAGCCUCUGGAAUUGCUUUGGCACUCAUUAGAUGAAUGGCUAGUUUUAAUAGCUACAGAAUUGAUGAAAAACAAGAAGGAUUCAACAGAUACCACUUCUAUUUUACUGAAACAAAAAGGCCAAGAUCAAGGGGCUACUUCCAUUCCACCAUUUGAACCUCCAGGACCUGGGAGCUAUGAACAUCUAUCGACUGGCACAGGAGAAUCUAAACCAGAUGCUCUUGCAGGGAAACAGGAAGCCAGUGCAGAUUGUCAAGAUGUUAUUUCUAUGACAGCCAACCGGCUAAGUGCUGUCAUUCAAGCUUUUUACAUGUGCUGCUCCUGUCAGAUGCCUCCAGGAAUGACUUCACCUCGUUUCAUUGAAUUUGUCUGCAAACAUGGUGAAGUUUUAAAAUGCUUUGUUAAUAGAAACCCCAAAAUUAUAUUUGACCACUUUCACUUUCUCCUUGAAUGUCCUGAGUUGAUGUCAAGAUUCAUGCAUAUCAUAAAAGCACAGGUAAUCUGUCAGUAUCUUGGCCGUGGCAAUUUUGAAUUCAUGGGCUCCAGUGCUCAAGUGAUCCUCCUGCCUCAGCUUCCCAAGUAUCUGAGACUGUAGCUUGGUUUAAAAUUUUUAUUUUAGGCAAAUAAAGUUGGCUGUAAAUUGAUAAUCACUGAAGCUGGAUUAUACAUACUUUGUACAUGUUUGGAAAACUCUAUAAGAAAAUGUUUUAAAAAUUGUUUCACACCAGGCAUGACGGUGCAUGUCUGUAAUCUCAGUAUCUGGAAAUCUGAAGUAGGAAAAUAGCACUUUCAAGGCCAGUCUGAGCUACAUAGUGAGUUUGAGGCCAGCCUGAGCAACAUGGCAACACUUUGUCUCAAAUAAAAAAACACCAAAUAUAAAUAAAUAGAUAGACAGAUGAUAACAAGUCAUUUCAAGUAGUUGGGAAUAAAAGGCCCAUGGCUUAAAUUAUACUACAUCUAUACAAUAAAAUUUCAGAUACAUCCUGUGGCUGCAGCUCAGUGGUAAGGAACAGGCUUAGCACACAGAUGGCUCUGGGAAAGCUCCAGAGCCAGUGUACAUGUGGGAGCGCACACAACCUCAUACCAUGUACUCACUAAAAUUGUUUCUAAGCUAUUUCAUGAAAAAUGGUUGUAAUCUGUAAUUGUGUGAUAGUAACAAAGUUACUGUGGAAAGACAUAGAAAAUUAAGGGCAUGGAAAAGUCUAUUUAAUAGGGUCAAAUCCCAUUCUGUUAUGAUAAAUUGUUUUAGGUGGAAGGGUUGAAGAAGAAAGGGAAGGGGAUUGGGGAAAACAUUGAGAACCAAGGUAGAGCCGGGGAUUUAGCUCAGUGGUUCCAGCGCCUGCCUCCCAAGCACAAGGUCCCGAGUUCGAUCCCUGGUAACAAAAACAAAAAAAAAAGAACCAAGAUAGAUUAUGUAAAGGUGCAGAUUUCCAAUGAUGAAUGUCAUUAUGUUGUAUACCUAAAAUGUACCAAUAAAAUUGAUUAAUAAAAAAAACGUAAAAAGUGUUUUAACUGACAUGAUUAAUAGUCAAUAUAAUUUAGAUUUAUUAAUACAAGCUUUGAAAAUACAGAGAUUAGUAAAUUUUAAAAAGCUGCAUGUGACCUAAACUUCUCUCCAUUCAAUAUAAUGUCUGUCUUCAGAGGUGAUAUUCCCAUCAGUUUUAUUGUACUGGGGAUCAGAACACGAUACUCAAAAGAUAUGGUACUUGGAGUAGUGAGUAGUUUAAGAUGAAGAAAACUGAGAAAACUACAGAAGCAAGAAGGUCAUUCUCUGACUUUCUCCACUUUUCUCCCCUGAAGCAGACCAUAGAAGAAUUCUCUGACCUGCCUCUCCAGAAAGAAGCCAUAAGACCCUCAUCCAGGAGAGUCCUGUCCUAUAUUCCACACCAAAAAUUUUUGGAACAAACUUGUUUUGUUAGGUUCCUUCCAGUUUUUUACAUUAGAUCCUACUCUAGUUCCCCAUCAUACUUCUUCGUGACUGUCCAUGAAAAUACACAGUCUUCCUUGGGUCUUUAGCUCUGCAUCUCUGGAGGAUCCCGUGCCAUGUAAAAUUGUAUUAAAUAUAUCUGUUAUGCCUUUCUCUUGUAAAUCUGUCCUUUUUUAUAGGGAUAUGAGCAAUGAAUCUUGCAAUGGGUGAAGAGAUUGCUUUUCCUCCCCUACAGUGGGCAUUAUCAUUAUAGGUUUUCAAAAAUAUAAGUUAAUAUUGAUAUCUAAAUGUAGAAAAAUACUUAUUUUAUGUCAUAUAUGUUCUCAUAUUGUAGGGUGCUUUUCUGCAACUUCAUUUUUAGAUGUAUUAGGAGAUAAUAAUAGUCAUUAAAUAGGAAUUUACUUCCUCUAUUAUACUAUCAAAUUGGGGCUGGGCCUGUAGCUCAGUAAAAGAGCACGUACCUAUCAUACGUGGGAUCGUAGAUUUGAUGUCCGGCACAGAAAAAAAACAAAAAUCUAUUUGUUUUUAAGAAUAAAUCUGUUGUUUCAUUGUACUAAUGACAAGCUUCUGAGCCUUUGUGGUGUAGAAAAGAAACAAAAAAUGCAAAUUCAAAGAUAAAAGAUAUUAUUUGCUAUCUGUUGUUACCAUCCGAGCUUAUAAAAUACCAAGCAGAAGUGAUUUGGAAAUAAUUCUCCAACAUUUUCCAGAGACAUGGUUCUGAGACUGUGGUCCUAUAAUUAUACAGAAUUUGGUAACCUUGCAGAGUCCAGUAACUUUAUUUUGGGCUCUGCAUGUGUUCAGAGCUGCGUAUCAGUUAGUUGACUCUGUUACUUUUACUGAGCAGACAAUGGCUGCAGUUACAGCCUCUAUGCACUGGCAGGGACAUAAACAAUCAAGUCAGAUUUUUUCUUUUUCAGUGCUAGGAUAACCCAAGGCUUUUUGCAUGCUAGGCAAGUGCUGAGCAUAUCCGCAGCCCCUCUAAUCUGACUCAAUUCACAAUAAGGAUGGCACAAAAGCCACUCCACAGUAGUUUAAAAACAGUUUUUGCUUCCUUAAAUCCCAGGUUUUUCACCUCCUGUAAGAACCAUCAUCUGAAAUGGCACUGAGGCAGAUCAGCUGACGGUUAGAAGACACUGACUUUGAAAUACUUUAUGACAGAAAAAAAAUUUGCAAAUUUGAAGGUAACUUUUCCUGAGGUGCUCAAUACCUACCGAUAGGAGCUGGUAGUGAGGCAAUAUCUUGGAAUAGUUUUUACUUAAAAUUGUAUGUGUUCCUACCACGCGUAGGGGCAACUUUUCAUAGUGAAAUUUGUGGUGAGAUUUUCAUAAGUGGUACAGCAUGCCUGUAGAAGAGAAGUUAUAUUAAAGGAGAGAAUAGCACAUCAGGUAUUAAUUCUAAUUUUAGAGUCGGGUGUGGUGGCACCUGCCUGUAAUCUCAGGACUCAGGUGGCUGAGGCAGGAGGAUCAUAUGUUCCGGGGUAGCCUGAAUUACAAGGCUUCAACCUUAUCUUAGAACAAAUAAUAAACAAACAAACCAGAAAAAGUAAAUGAAAACUGGGCUUGUUGGCAUAUGCCUGUAAUCCCAGCUAUUUGGGAGGUUGCAGCAAGAGGAUUUUGAGUUCAGGGCAGAUUGGACAAUUUCGUGAGACAUUAUCUCAAAAUAAAAAGGACUGGGGGCGAGCUAUCCAUGAUAGAGAGCCCUGGGUUCGCUCCCCAGAAUCCUCCCUCCAAAUCCAGUUUGACUUCUGCCAUAAUUAGCUGUGUAGCUAUGUACAACUCAUCGAAUCGUAGCUAUGUACAACUCAUCGAAUCUGUCUAGAUCUCUGUUUCCUUUGUCUGAUGGAAUUCUUUCAAAUUUCUUGCCUCUAAUGAUGUUGUUUAUUCCAUCAUCAAAUAUUUCUUGAAUAUUCAAGGCAAUGACGAUAUGGAGAUAUCGAAGGUCUAUCUUAAAGAUAUCACCUAGUGAGGGGCACAGACAGUAACAUGACCUACACAUGGUAAAUAAGUUGUAAUUUAUGUGUGGACUUAGCUAUGAAAUCACAGAGGGUAGGUCUUGACUUAUCUGGGCAUGAACUGAGUCUUGAAGAAACACUAGGAGUAAAGGUAAAGGGGGUUGGAAAGAUGAUCCAGAGAGAGAGAGGCAAUGAACAUGCAGAGAUGGGAUGUGUGAUGGAGCAGUGUAUAGUUGGAGCACGAGUGUUUUUCACAAUUGGAGUAAGGGUUCACAUAGCAGAAUACUGGAAGACAGCAAAGCUGAACAUGGGAUGGGCCAAGUAGCUUUUUAUCAUUCCAAUAAUCGGAACUUUAUUCUGAAUCUGAUGAAAAAUCACUCUUGACAGACCUUAAAUUGGGAAAUGCUAUGAUCCAUUAGAAAGACUCCUUUGGGAUCAUAGUGUGGAAGAUUGAUUGACUGAUUGCAGGGGUGAAGCCUGGCUCAGAGGGAACAACUAGGAGAUCCACGUGCCUUCAAAGGAGGUAGAGCAACACAGGUCACCUUGUUCCUUCAGCAGUGUUCGCCUUAUCCUUGCUUGAGGUCUGAUCUGUGCAUGCAAUUCACAGAUCAGCCAAAGCUGUGGGCAGCAUUUAAAUUUGGAGGCUUUACUGAUUUUCUCAUUCUACCCCAAAUUUCCCUACUAACUUUUCUAGGAGCUGAUGUUGGGUAUGACACUAUUUUCUGCUUCUUCAAGCUAGUAAGACAGUGAUUAUUUUCUAUUUAGUAUUAACUAUCCAAUGCCAAAUGGGACCUGCCUCAGUUUCUAUAAAAGCAGGAUUCUCACUGGCUGCCUGUUCUGACAAAGGCUCACUCCAUUUCAAUUUUGCCUGCAUCUUUCCUUUCUAGUGCCUUUGGGAGUGACUUUUUAUAUUUUUCUCAGAGGGCUGUGUGUGCGUGAGUGUGUGUUGACGCGCACACACACCUGUCUCUAUGCACUCAGUUUGGUUCACUGGGAGCUACUUAACCAUGCCCCUUUAUCCGGUUAUGAACCCCCAGUUCAUAACAAUAGUUACUCCCUUGUACAUACGUUAAACUUCUUCAUCUCUUAUGCACUUUACCAUUGUCACUCUGCAACCCCUAAGCUAAACAUGAUUUUCCAUCUAAAACUACAUACAGGAAAAGAAAUUGAGCUCGACAGAAGUACAGAUAGUAA